rnacentral:rRNA from 1 species
UGGGGAAUCUUCCGCAAUGGGCGAAAGCCUGACGGAGCAACGCCGCGUGAAUGAAGAAGGCCUUCGGGUCGUAAAGUUCUGUUGAAAGGGAAGAAGUCUCUUUAUGUAAAUAAUGUAAAGAGGUGACGGUACCUUUUGAGGAAGCUCCGGCUAACUACGUGCCAGCAGCCGCGGUAAUACGUAGGGAGCAAGCGUUGUCCGGAAUUACUGGGCGUAAAGGGCGCGUAGGCGGGAUAUUAAGUUAGGUGUGAAAACUCUGGGCUCAACUUGGAGACUGCACCUAAAACUGGUAUUCUUGAGGACAGGAGAGGAAAGUGGAAUUCCUGGGUGAGCGGUGAAAUGCGUAGAUAUUAGGAGGAACACCAGUGGCGAAGGCGACUUUCUGGACUGUAACUGACGCUGAGGCGCGAAAGCGUGGGGAGUGAACG